GACGAACGCUGGCGGCGUGCCUAAUACAUGCAAGUUGAGCGCUGAAGGUUGGUACUUGUACCAACUGGAUGAGCAGCGAACGGGUGAGUAACGCGUGGGGAAUCUGCCUUUGAGCGGGGGACAACAUUUGGAAACGAAUGCUAAUACCGCAUAAAAACUUUAAACACAAGUUUUAAGUUUGAAAGAUGCAAUUGCCUCACUCAAAGAUGAUCCCGCGUUGUAUUAGCUAGUUGGUGAGGUAAAGGCUCACCAAGGCGAUGAUACAUAGCCGACCUGAGAGGGUGAUCGGCCACAUUGGGACUGAGACACGGCCCAAACUCCUACGGGAGGCAGCAGUAGGGAAUCUUCGGCAAUGGACGAAAGUCUGACCGAGCAACGCCGCGUGAGUGAAGAAGGUUUUCGGAUCGUAAAACUCGGUUGGUAGAGAAGAACGUUGGUGAGAGUGGAAAGCUCAUCAAGUGACGGUAACUACCCAGAAAGGGACGGCUAACUACGUG
rnacentral:rRNA from 1 species